rnacentral:misc_RNA from 1 species
AAGUCGUAACAAGGUUUCCGUAGGUGAACCUGCGGAAGGAUCAUUACCAAAUCCAAAUACCCUAACUCCCAUGUGAACUAUUGUAAUAGUCUGUCUUUGGGAGAAAAAGAAGAAAAACAGAACAUCGUGUCUGUUUUUUGGAUGUUUCUCCCAAAAGAAUCCGGGGCAUAUUACUUUCUUUUUGAUAAGAAUUGUUUUAUGUCAUUUGGAUUCUUUAAAAACCUUUAAACCACUUGAUUCAUUGUUGGAAUUCUCUUUUAUUAAUUAUCAAUAAAAGACAACUUUUAACGGCGGAUCUCUUGGCUCGU